rnacentral:miRNA from 1 species
AACCACAGCCAAGGGAACGGGCUUGGGGGAAUCAGCGGGGAAAGAAGACCCUGUUGAGCUUGACUCUAGUCUGG